AAAUUUCUCUCGCUGAUCCAAUUUCUUUGAUUCAACGAUGUCAGACAAGGAAACAAUCUCUAAUAAAGAGGGUGAUGUAAAAUUUAAAUAUACCGGAGAUGUUCUCGGAGAUGCUGCUAAUCGAUUGCUUACUGAUGAAAAGCUGAUGAAGAAAAUUGGUCAUGAAGUGACGCUCUUCACAAGGGAUGUAUUAUCGGACGAAACAGUUCAAGAUAGUGCGAAAGAAAUAAAGAAAUAUUGAGGGAAGGAUUGGCCCUUCCGUUGGGAAAACGGAUUGCGGCUCCCUUCUAUGUUAUUUCCUUCAUCUAUGCUGUUAAUACAGGCUUGUAUUUCCUGAAGAAAAUCAGGUCGACUGUCAGCGGAUUGGGUCCUUGCAGAAGAUGAAAGAGUGCAUCUCUAUUCUAAUUGAAUUUUAAUUGUAAAAAAUAAGUUUAUGACUGAUGGUGUCUAGGAGAUGUUUAUGUGAAGUAGUGCAGUAUAUUAUCUUUUAGUGUUGAUUCUAUUUAGUGAAAUAUGGUGUCCAGGAGAUGUUUAUGUGAAAUAGUGCAUUAUAUUAUCUUUUAGAUUCUA